UCUUGGUCAUUUAGAGGAAGUAAAAGUCGUAACAAGGUCUCCGUUGGUGAACCAGCGGAGGGAUCAUUACCGAGUUUACAACUCCCAAACCCAAUGUGAACGUUACCAAACUGUUGCCUCGGCGGGAUCUCUGCCCCGGGUGCGUCGCAGCCCCGGACCAAGGCGCCCGCCGGAGGACCAACCAAAACUCUUAUUGUAUACCCCCUCGCGGGUUUUUUACUAUCUGAGCCAUCUCGGCGCCCCUCGUGGGCGUUUCGAAAAUGAAUCAAAACUUUCAACAACGGAUCUCUUGGUUCUGGCAUCGAUGAAGAACGCAGCGAAAUGCGAUAAGUAAUGUGAAUUGCAGAAUUCAGUGAAUCAUCGAAUCUUUGAACGCACAUUGCGCCCGCCAGUAUUCUGGUGGGCAUGCCUGUCCGAGCGUCAUUUCAACCCUCGAACCCCUCCGGGGGGUCGGCGUUGGGGAUCGGCCCUUUACGGGGCCGGCCCCGAAAUACAGUGGCGGUCUCGCCGCAGCCUCUCCUGCGCAGUAGUUUGCACACUCGCAUCGGGAGCGCGGCGCGUCCACAGCCGUUAAACACCCCAAACUUCUGAAAUGUUGACCUCGGAUCAGGUAGGAAUACCCGCUGAACUUAAGCAUAUCAAUAAGCGGAGGAA
rnacentral:rRNA from 1 species